UGUGUGUGUGUAUAUACAUAUUAUUUAUUUAUCCAAUGGAAAGGUUAUUCAACGUUAUUUUUAACUCAAUGUGGUUUCAUCUAAUUUAGCGUGAAUUAAAGAAAAAAUACUCGAUGGCUUUUGGGACAAAAGAUCUUGCUCCGUUUCCGCUACGUUGGAGAUUCCAGUGUUAAGCAUAAGCACACCACUUUCAACUGUCAAAUUAACAAAUAGGUGUUAGUUUCAAUACACGACUUCUAAAUAGCCAACCUCAGUAGUUAAGUAGUAGUAGUAUUAGCAUUGCAUUGAGGACCGCAAACAAGGUUCCGUAAAAGUACUGAUGGAAAAGUAUAAUUUAUGAGGUGAGGAUAAUUCCACCUACCAUCGUGAACAAACGAGUGGUGAUGAUAGAGAUAAGAUAGAUUGAGGCACGAAGCAAAGCCACGUGGCCGACUGGUAGCAUAUCAACUAACGUUGGUGCUCGUUGCAACCACACUAUUUCCACAAGCUCUCUCCCUGUUUCUUAUCAUUAAGAAGAAGCAGAGCAUCAGGAGUUGGUAAAGUAGCCUUCUCAUAAACUCAAACAAGGAAAUGGCGACCGCACCCGCUUUAUGUGGCUCUGUGUUGAACACCUCUUUUCUCAGGAAGCAGCCUGUGAUCAGCACAAGCCUCAAGUCAUUCCCAAACGCUAACGCCAUGUUCGGUGUGGAAGGAGGACGUGGAGGUCGUGUGACUGCCAUGGCCGCUUACAAGGUGAAGCUGAUCACCCCAGAGGGAGAGCAGGAGUUCGAAUGCCCAGAUGAUGAAUACAUUCUUGAUGUUGCAGAGGGCCUAGGCCUUGACCUUCCCUACUCAUGCAGGGCUGGUUCUUGNUCUUCCUGUGCUGGCAAAGUUGUCGCCGGCAAAGUCGACCAGUCGGACGGUAACUACCUUGAUGACGACCAAAUUGGUGAAGGCUGGGUUCUCACCUGCGUUGCUUACCCAACCUCAGAUCUUGUUAUCGAAACCCACAAGGAGGAAGACCUCGUUGCUUAAAUCUUAUCAUCAUCAUCAUCGCUGCCUCUACUUUAUUAAGUUUCUUCCUUUCCCUGUGCUGCCUUUUCUUUAUCUGAGGAUAGACACACCCAUUAUGCUUUAUUACGUACCAUAAAUACCUUCUUAUGCAGUAAUGUAAUUCAUUACUUCCCCUGUAUUAGCAGCUCAACAUGUUUUUUUGUUAACUAUAAUAAUCUUUUCCUUACAGUUUUUGCGCGCAAUAUCCUUUCCACUUUCCGCCCUUCAAUCACUGAUUAUUACCUUUUACGAUCACAAAUUCGAUCUUGUCAUUCUAUCCGUGUUAACAUUUUAUGGUAUUGGAUUCAUAAAUUUAUGAAAGCAGUGCUAAAUACUAUCACAUAUUUAUUUACACAUCAAUCUGCGCAAAUACAAUAUAUAAAAAUGUUUUUCAUUGCUCAAUUAACAAUACAUAUAAUAUUUAUAAGCAAAACAGAUAGAAGUGCAACUCAAACAUACUUGCUUGUUUACGUUUUCACGCUCCCGACAUUUUUAUAUUUACGAUCUUAUCAUUCUCUUUUUGAGGUGAAAGAGGGAAUAUCUCUAUCAGAGAAGAUAAUGGAUAAAUCCCACAUAAACUAUAAUCUGAUAAGUCUUUCUAUAUAUAUCAAUCCAAGAUGUAUUUUCUUUCCCAGGGUUUGGAGAGGGUGCUCUUGGAGCAAAGAUUUGUAACUAUUAAAAAUGAAAUAAACUAAAAGUUAAAAUGAGGUUCUAUUAUUUAAGUAAAGGUUAAAUAAUUUCAAAUCUUUCGUAGUAGCAAAGAGUCCACUAAAAUAAUGCAGAGUCAGCAAAGUGACAGAUUCUCUGCCAUUGAAGUAUUUUAACUUAUUCUAAUUUGAGAUUUUAUUGCUUUCUAUAUUUAAAACAGAGGUAAAAAAAUUGUUAAAAAAACAUUUUUCUUUUAACUUAUAGUAUAUUAACAAUAUUUUAAUGUUUAAAAGCCGGAAAAGAAGAGUAUGAAUGGAUAAGAUAUGCAUCGAAGAACAAUGUGAUGAUAAUUUUCAAGUGGAAGCCUGGAUUUUGCACAAUCUGUGGAGAUAACAGAGGCACAGAGAUUGAGGUACGUGAGGUUGCAUUCGACCAAGAUAUGGUGAUAACAAUCGUGAGAACCAGUUGUGAUAAAGCCACGUGUAAGUGGGGUUGCAUGUGAUGUUGGAACUGGUUGUAAUCACAAGCUCCUUAUCGUUAUCAACAAAGAAGAAGAAAAAUCCAUCAACUUUGCAAGCAAGAGGAGAAUGGCGUUGAUUCAUGUGGCAGUGUUGAACACCUCCUUCCUCUGGAAACAGCCAGUCCUGAAGGCAUUCCCGAAUGCUAACGCCAUGUUUGGUGUGAAAGGAGGAAGUGGGGGUCGUGUGAGUGCCAUGGCCAGUUACAAGGUGAAGCUGAUCACACCAGAGGGAGACAAAGAAUUUGAAUGCCCAGAUGAUGCUUAUAUUCUUGACCAGGCUGAGGAAAUAGGCAUUGAUCUUCCCUACUCAUGCAGGGCUGGUGCUUGUUCUAGCUGUGCUGGCAAAGUUGUGGCUGGCCAAGUAGACCAAUCAGAUGGUAGUUUCCUUGAUGAAACUCAAGAGAGUGAAGGCUUUGUUCUCACCUGCAUCGCUUACCCCACUUCAGAUGUUGUUAUUCUCACUCACAAGGAGGAGGAACUCACUGCCACUGCUUGACUCACUCAGUUUCUUCCCUUCUCAACCUCAUCAUCUUUUUUCUUUUCUGUCUUGUGCAAUUUUCUCAGGAUUUUACUAUAUAUAUCAUGUUUCAUUCUUUGUUUUAUGAUCGGCAACUUAUCACGAAAUUUUUUGCCUUGAUGCUGACUUGCAUUGUAGCUUCUUAUCUCAGUUGUUAUAGAUGAUGAUUUCAUGCAUUGUGUGGCCAAAGUUUUUAACCUUCAUAUCACUUAAAAAUGAGAGAUGAUAUCUGAUUGUGUCUGCUGCAUUAGGUAGAUUCCACUUGUGAUAAAAGAAUUGAAGCAGGCUAAGGAUAUGGAAUGGGAGGCAUUAGAGAAAAGAACAUCAUUGUAGUUGAAUUCCUUGCCAAAAUUAAGGAAUGAAGUCAAUCAAAUGCAAAUGGUUAUAUUCACACUUUUGUGUUUUCUUUCUGUUCUACCUUUUACUUUUCCCUAGUAUUGCCAGAAUCAGUCAUGUGAACUGCAUAAGGGUAGACCAUUUGAAGACAGAUCCUUUCUCAUUGAUGCAUAAUUGUCAAACGCUAAAACAUAGAUAGAGGGUUCAUCAAGUUCCACAUUAAGAAGAACGUUUCACAAACAUACCCAAAAUAUUCACAUUCUUCCCUGCCAAGCCCAUGAAACAUAUAUCAUAGGAUCCAUGUCUUGUAAAUCAAAUCAGUUCAUCCAUUGUCUUUACUCCUCUAGUUGAAUCAAGUAAUUGACCAAUUUUGUACUUCAAUUCUUCAGGUUUGCUUUCUUAGCGUUAUCUUUAAGGUAGCUGUUCCUUGUUUGAUCCUAACACACUGUCAUCUUCAAAAGAACUUUUACUGAGGUCCAUACUUCUUCAAGGAAACUCAAAGGUCCUCAAUUAUAUGAUAUGCAUCCUGAACAGCAGUACUGCAACACAAGUAUGAGAUGGAAAUCCGCUUACAGAUAUUGAAUUUGCAAGGGAAUAAAUGGAAGAAAGAAAACUGAACAACUGGAAUAAAUAGUUGAAAUAAGAUUGUUCAAGUAAUAACAGUGUUUCCAAAUUAAUCUUUAUUACUGAUGAAGUAGUUGAAGUGAGCAAAGUAGUUGAAGUGAGCAGAAGGAAAACGUGGUAAAAAUACGUGUGGUGAUAAGAGAUGAGUUGAAGCCUAUAACAGUGACACGUGGCAGAUAAGGUUGUACGUGAUUUCACUUCAUUUCAUUGGUUUAUGUAUCAGAGAAGAAGAAGAAGAAGAAAAAGAAGGAGAAGAAGCAGCAACAGCAAGAGGAGAAUGGCAGCUCUGUGUGGCCCUGCAUUGAACAGCUCCUUCCUGAGGAAGCAAGCAGUGAACAUGUCAAGCAUGAAGGCAUUCGAAAACGCCAACGCCGUGUUUGGUGUGAAAGAAGGACGAGGUGGUCGUGUGACUGCCAUGGCCACUUACAAGGUGAAGCUGAUAACCCCAGAGGGAGAAAAGCAGAUCAAAUGCUCAGAUAGUGAAUACAUUCUUGAUGCUGCAGAAGAACAAGGCCUUGACCUUCCCUACUCAUGCAGGGCUGGUGCCUGUUCUUCUUGUGCUGGAAAAAUUGUGUCUGGCAAAGUGGACCAGACAGACAAUAGCUUCCUUGAUGACGACCAAGUUGAUGCAGGAUUUGUUCUCACCUGUAUUGCUUACCCGACCUCUGACGUUGUCAUCCGCACCAACGUGGAGGACGAACUCAAUGAUUUUUAAAUCUUGUUUUCUUUCAAAUCUCAUGUACUGUUGAAUAAGGUGAAUCUUGUUGCUUUCCUUUCUGCUUCAGUUAUGAACUCUCAUGUUAUUGCUUUCCUUGCCUUCUUAUAUGAACUAUUAAGCUUCGAACGAAAUCACCAGCAAUUAUCAUGUGGUAUAUGUUAUACUUGCAAUUACACGACAAGUCCAUAUGUGUGGUCGUUCUUGAUUGGUAACACCAUUCAUUGACAAGGAUAAUUUUGUAAGCAAUAAAUAAAUUAAAAAGAAAUUUCAAUUUACAAUGAAUCCAUGAAAAACAUUUAGCACAAUUAAAGCAGUGGACGACCAUAAACCAUACUCAGAUUCCAUAUAUAAAGUUUUAUAUACUUACCAAAAAAAGGAAAAUAAGAAGAUAUAACGAGGCAUAAGAUGAUGCCACGUGGCAGAUAGGAUUGUGUGUGGCCUCAGCACCUCAUAUAGGGUAUAAUAAGCACACUAUUUCUGCAAAGUGAAGGUCAGAAUUCUUAUCCUUCAGCAAGUAGAAGAAGAAGACGACGACAACGACGCUAGCAGCAUUGAAGAAUGGCGUCGAUGGCACCCGCUCUCUGUGGCCCUGUCUUGAACACUUCCUUCCUCAGGAAGCAACCACUGAACAUGGCAAGCAUGAAGCCUUUCCAAAACGCUAACGCCGUUUUCGGUGUGGAAGGAGGACGUGGAGGUCGUGUGACUGCCAUGGCCGCUUACAAGGUGAAGCUGAUCACCCCAGAGGGAGAACAGGAGUUCGAAUGCCCAGAUGAUGAAUACAUUCUUGAUGUUGCAGAGGGCCUAGGCCUUGACCUUCCCUACUCAUGCAGGGCUGGUUCUUGNUCUUCCUGUGCUGGCAAAGUUGUCGCCGGCAAAGUCGACCAGUCGGACGGUAACUACCUUGAUGACGACCAAAUUGGUGAAGGCUGGGUUCUCACCUGCGUUGCUUACCCAACCUCUGAUCUUGUUAUCGAGACCCACAAGGAGGAAGACCUCGUUGCUUAAAUCUUAUCAUCAUCGCUGCCUCUACUUUAUUAAGUUUCUUCCUUUCCCAGCCCCAUUGUCUUUUUCCCUUUAUUCUGUGCCAUUUUGUCAGGAUAUAUACGUAUGUUAUGUUUGUUUAUGAACAACUUGUUUUGCACUAAUUCGUUAAUUACUUCACCUGUACGUUGUAGCAGCUCAAGUUCAUUGCUGUCUUACUGUUGUUGCCCACUUGAUUGAAUGACAACUCAAUUUUUUUGGUAGAUGAUUAUGAUGUUAGUGCGGAGGAUUAGAGUUCCCAAAUGUUAGGAAAUAAAUUGUGUGGUUCUCUUCUUAUCGCUUAGAAGAGAG
rnacentral:lncRNA from 1 species